rnacentral:tRNA from 1 species
GUACAGCUCAGCGGCAGAGCACUUGCCUAACAUGUAUGACCCCCAAACUCCCAGGUUCAAUUCCUGGUAC